AAGUCGAGCGAACAGACGAGGAGCUUGCUCCUCUGACGUUAGCGGCGGACGGGUGAGUAACACGUGGGUAACCUACCUAUAAGACUGGGAUAACUCCGGGAAACCGGGGCUAAUACCGGAUAACACAUGAAACCGCAUGGUUUCAUGAUGAAAGACGGUUUUGCUGUCACUUAUAGAUGGACCCGCGGCGUAUUAGCUAGUUGGUAAGGUAACGGCUUACCAAGGCAACGAUACGUAGCCGACCUGAGAGGGUGAUCGGCCACACUGGAACUGAGACACGGUCCAGACUCCUACGGGAGGCAGCAGUAGGGAAUCUUCCGCAAUGGGCGAAAGCCUGACGGAGCAACGCCGCGUGAGUGAUGAAGGUCUUCGGAUCGUAAAACUCUGUUAUUAGGGAAGAACAAGGAUGUAAGUAACUAUGCAUCCCUUGACGGUACCUAAUCAGAAAGCCACGGCUAACUACGUGCCAGCAGCCGCGGUAAUACGUAGGUGGCAAGCGUUAUCCGGAAUUAUUGGGCGUAAAGCGCGCGUAGGCGGUUUUUUAAGUCUGAUGUGAAAGCCCACGGCUCAACCGUGGAGGGUCAUUGGAAACUGGAAAACUUGAGUGCAGAAGAGGAAAGUGGAAUUCCAUGUGUAG
rnacentral:rRNA from 1 species